CUAUUAAAGGCAAAAUUAUUACUAAUAAUCACUUCCCUUUUUACUUUCUUUUGUAUUAUUUCUUUUUUAUUCAAUUCAAAUUUCUUUAAUCUCAUGGUUCAUAGCCAAGUGGCUAGUGAAUUACUAAUAAAUAAAACAAAAGGAUAAAUAAUGACAAUAGGUACUGUUAAAUGGUUUAACACUAAAAAAGGAUACGGUUUCAUCGCACCAGAAGGUGGAUCUAAUGAUGUAUUCGUUCAUAUCUCAGCUCUUGAAAAAGCUGGUCUUCAAGCACUAGAUGAAGGUCAAAAAGUAGAAUAUGAGCUAGCAGAAAAUAAAGGCAAAGAAUCUGCUGUAAACUUAAGU
rnacentral:sRNA from 1 species